CAAGGAAUUUUCCCCAAUGGGCGCACGCCUGAGGGAGCAACGCCGCGUGGAGGACGACGGCCUUCGGGUUGUAAACUCCUUUUGGGGGGGAAGAGCAUGACGGUACCCCCCGAAUCAGCCCCGGCUAACUCCGUGCCAGCAGCCGCGGUAAGACGGAGGGGGCAAGCGUUGUCCGGAAUCACUGGGCGUAAAGCGCGUGUAGGCGGUCGUGUGCGUCGGUGCUGAAAGCGCCCGGCUUAACCGGGCGAGGCGUGCCGAUACGAUGCGACUGGAGGCAGGCAGAGGGUGGCGGAAUUCCGGGUGUAGCGGUGAAAUGCGUAGAGAUCCGGAGGAACGCCGGUGGGGCAGCCGGCCACCUGGGCCUGACCUGACGCUGAGACGCGACAGCGUGGGGAGCAAACCGGA
rnacentral:rRNA from 1 species